rnacentral:ncRNA from 1 species
UAAAAGACUUAGAUGAGGAAAAGUAGGAUUUACCGUUUUUUAAAAGAGAGCUUCAGGAGCUGAAACGAAGCAAAAAUGUGGAUCUGAAUAAUGGCCUCGGAGUUUCGUGCUGAACAUAUCGAUGAUAGUAGUAGGUUCCGACGGGAUUUGGUACUCGUUAUCAAUACCACAGUAUAAAGAGAGUUUUAUGAGAAACUCACGUACUUGAUGAGGCUGUAUGUGUGAGCAUACAGUAAAGUAAGGUGGUACCACGUUAAUUUAAACCACGUCCUUACC